CAGCCCAGGCAAGGCAGACUCCUGUCUCCGAGCAGUCGCCCUAACCAGUGACUACACCCAGGAAGCUCAGUAAUGGCCAGAUCCUGGCUGCUCUCCCAGGACGGACCCUAUCCUAUCCUCGGGGACACAGCAUGUUAAUUCCUUUAGAAAUUUGCAUCUGGGCCUGGGAACUGGAGUCUGGACCUAGCCAGAGAGGUGAGUUCAACCUUGAAGUCUCACUUCCAAAACAUUCUUGGAAACUGUAGGAUUUUCCAUGGAUGUCCUCAUCUACAGGACUCUAGGGCAUCAGAGCUGGGCAAGCCCUCACAGGAGCUGAUCUAAUUCCUGGGAAAAUGCCCUGACCUUGAUAACUCCCAUUCCAGGGAGGAAAGGCAGUCAACAGCAAAAUCGGUCAAGUUGUCACACUAGGAUCACUUCUGACCCUGACUACAGAGCAGGCUCGGAGAUCUGGGGGCAUUGCCUCAUCCAAGUCCCUGGUAAUCACAGCGGCUGCCCCCGUCACCGGGCUCCACGUCGAACUCUCCUCUCAGGCAGUCCAGGGUGCUCUGGGAGAUGUGCACGCGCCUGCGGUGCAGCAGAGAGGCCUGAGCACGGGCCGGGGCGCCCUCCCUGCCCCCGACAGCCACGGCCCAGGCUGCAUCUCAGGGCCCAGGACAGAGGGCCACCCGGAGCAGAGACGAAGUCCCGUGUGGGCAGUGUGGCACCUGCCCCCGUCUCAGCCUCAGUGUUAAACCCCAAGACAGGAGUAAAUUUGUCCUCACAGGCUGCCGAGAGUAUCAGAUGAGAAAAGGAAAUUCAGAAGUCUGCUCUGACCUUAAAGUCAUAAGGUCCGAUUAUUACCCGCCUUGCAGGAUCCUUAGUUGCAGCACCUGCUUUCAGGGGACAAUGGACCCAUUUCUGGGGAGUCACCACUAAGGGAGAGGCUUGUGGCUGCCUUUAAGGUAGCCCCCUGACCCAGGGGGGCAGGUUUCACCACGUCCUUCGCUGCCCACCCUGAGGCAGGCCCUGGCCUGGCCAAUUCUGCAGCAGCUCCGGUGAGAUGAGCAGGCGCACUAGCUGCAAUCGCUGCUACCGAGCCGGCUGCUGAUCAUCACUAGAAUAAUACUGACGCAGCUACAGCUGUGAGCACGUCGGGGCCCAGGCAGCCCCCCACGUGGGCAAAGGGAGCGAGGAGACAGCUGGAGAGGUCCAGGCACGAGAGGCCACAGCCAACCUCAGCCCAAGGAGGCGGGCGCCCCGAGGAGGAACGCUGCUGCUGGUGGUCCCCCGUCCAGGCCGCAGACCUGAGGGAUGGAUGUCCCCUCCCGGACCCUCGUGCCUGC